rnacentral:sRNA from 1 species
AUGUAAUCCAGUAUAUGGGGAUGUUUCCCAUACAUUCAACGCCACGAAUACGGAAAAAGUAAAGGGGAGAUAAAAUCCCCCCUUUUUGAUUAAC